rnacentral:rRNA from 1 species
GACGAACGCUGGCGGCGUGCUUAACACAUGCAAGUCGAACGGAAAGGCCUGCUUUCCCUUGUGGAUUGCGGGUACUCGGGUGGCGAACGGGUGAGUAACACGUGAGUGAUCUGCCCCCAACUUGGGUAUAAGCCUGGGAAACUGGGUCUAAUUCCCGAUAGGACUGCAGGGUGGUGCCUGUGGUGGAAAACGAUUUUCUAGUGGUUGGGGAUGAGCUCGCGGCCUAUCAGCUUGUUGGUGGGGUAAUGGCCUACCAAGGCGGCGACGGGUAGCCGGCCUGAGAGGGUGGACGGCCACAGUGGGACUGAGAUACGGCCCAGACUCCUACGGGAGGCAGCAGUGGGGAAUAUUGCACAAUGGGCGGAAGCCUGAUGCAGCGACGCCGCGUGGGGGAUGACGGCCUUCGGGUUGUAAACUCCUUUCGACCGCGAGGAAGCCACCUGGUUGGAAGGGUGGUGACGGUAGUGGUAGAAGAAGCACCGGCUAACUACGUG